AUGACAAGCCCCUCUUUGACGUUGGCAUCAUUGAAGGGUCUGCAAGGCAUCUACGCUCGGGGAACUUCACAGAUAGGUGCUCCAAAGGGAAAGUGGUGGAGCAUUUAGGUGUGUCGAGAGGAGAGCUCUUGAUUUGGGAUGAGAGCCUUUGAAGAUGAAACAACUGCAUUCCAAGUCCCAGUCUCCCUCCCUGGAGACAUGCUUUCCAAAAGGCUACAGCCACAGCACAAAGCCAACCUUGACAUUUGCAUAAAUCCAUCAGUGUCACCACGACAGCGCCGACUCCUAGGUCGCCAUCCGCCGUUAAAUUUAGAAAAAAAACAAAACUAGGCAGGAAUGGUGAAAAAAAACACAGCAAAGGUUGUAAAGGUUUUGCAUUGCUAUGCUGCAGUCAGAUGAUUACAUUGACAGGUCUCAGGUGAGCGCUUUUCAGGCACAAGCUAUACAAAAAACAGCCAUGGCUUUUGUUAUUGCCUGGAGUUUUACAACAUGACAUGUAAGUGUGCGUGAGAUUGUUUAUGUGUGUGAGAGAGUGCUGCUUGAAGGAGGUGGCAGUGCAUAUGAAUUCGUCUGUCCAAGAUUCACGAGUAAAUGCUGUGGACAAGGCCACUGGCCUCACCUGGCAGUCGAUUGUCGUAAUUUCACCGAUGUCACUUUCAAUUUAGCCAGCGACUGAGAUGAGAGAUAACUCUGCAGGCUGCACCCACACCACUCCACCUCCUGCUCUCUGGAGCUACAAGUGUGCAGGCUGCAACAGCAGUGGCUUACAGACAGGAAGUAGACAACUGUGUGAGAAGACACAAUUGCGUGUUUUUUUUUUUUUUUUUUAAUUGAGGUGCUGUGAAAUGAGAAUUAUAUUGUAAAAAGUCAACUAGAUCACUUGUUGUUACCUAUGUCUCAGGCUUUCUCCAAUUAUGUUCUUCUGUUAACCAAAUAUGUGACCCUGGACCACAAGACCAGUCAUAAGUAGCAUUUGUAUCAAUAGCCAACAAUACACUGUAUGGGUCAAAAUGAUCGAUUGUUUUUUUUUUAUGCCAAAAAUCAUUAGGAUAUUAAGUAAAGCUCAUGUUCCAUGAAGAUAUUUUGUAAAUAUCCUACCCUAAAUAUAUCAAAACUUAAUUUCUGAUUAGUAAUAUGCAUUGCUAAGAACUUAAUUUGGUAAAUUUAAAGGCAGUUUUCUGAAUAUUUCAAUUUUUUGUUAGGGUUUUUUUUUUUUGCACCCUCAGAUUUCAGAUUUUUAAAUAAUUGUAUCUCGGCCAAGCAUUUUCCUAUCCUAACAAACUAUACAUCAAUGGAAAACUUAUUUAUUUAUUAUUGAUUUAUAAAUCUC
ensembl:lncRNA